UACGGAGGGUGCAAGCGUUAUCCGGAUUCACUGGGUUUAAAGGGUGCGUAGGUGGGUUUGUAAGUCAGUGGUGAAAUCUCCAAGCUUAACUUGGAAACUGCCGUUGAUACUAUAAAUCUUGAAUGUUGUGGAGGUGAGCGGAAUAUGUCAUGUAGCGGUGAAAUGCUUAGAUAUGACAUAGAACACCAAAUUGCGAAGGCAGCUCACUACACAAA
rnacentral:rRNA from 1 species